UACAGAGGUGGCAAGCGUUGUUCGGAUUUAUUGGGCGUAAAGGGUCCGUAGGCGGCUUGGAAAGUCAGAUGUGAAAGCCCACAGCUCAACUGUGGAACUGCAUUUGAAACUUCCAGGCUAGAGUGUGAGAGGGGUAAGGGGAAUUCCCGGUGUAAGGGUGAAAUCUGCAGAGAUCGGGAGGAACACCAGUCGCGAAGGCGCCUUACUGGCUCACUACUGACGCUCAGGGACGAAAGCUAGGGGAGCAAACGGG
rnacentral:rRNA from 1 species